GACGUAGGGCGCGAGCGUUGUCCGGAUUUAUUGGGCGUAAAGAGCUCGUAGGCGGCUUGUCGCGUCGACUGUGAAAACCCGCGGCUCAACUGCGGGCUGGCAGUCGAUACGGGCAGGCUAGAGUUCGGUAGGGGAGACUGGAAUUCCUGGUGUAGCGGUGAAAUGCGCAGAUAUCAGGAGGAACACCGAUGGCGAAGGCAGGUCUCUGGGCAUUAACUGACGCUGAGGAGCGAAAGCAUGGGGAGCGAACAGG
rnacentral:rRNA from 1 species